rnacentral:rRNA from 1 species
GGUUAAGCGACUAAGCGUACACGGUGGAUGCCCUGGCAGUCAGAGGCGAUGAAGGGCGUGCUAAUCUGCGAUAAGCGCCGGUAAGGUGAUAUGAACCGUUAUAACCGGCGAUACCCGAAUGGGGAAACCCAGUGUGAUUCGUCACACUAUCAUUAACUGAAUCCAUAGGUUAAUGAGGCGAACCGGGGGAACUGAAACAUCUAAGUACCCCGAGGAAAAGAAAUCAACCGAGAUUCCCCCAGUAGCGGCGAGCGAACGGGGAGGAGCCCAGAGCCUGAAUCAGCAUGUGUGUUAGUGGAAGCGUCUGGAAAGGCGCGCGAUACAGGGUGACAGCCCCGUACACAAAAGCGCAUGUGCUGUGAGCUCGAUGAGUAGGGCGGGACACGUGGUAUCCUGUCUGAAUAUGGGGGGACCAUCCUCCAAGGCUAAAUACUCCUGACUGACCGAUAGUGAACCAGUACCGUGAGGGAAAGGCGAAAAGAACCCCGGCGAGGGGAGUGAAAAAGAACCUGAAACCGUGUACGUACAAGCAGUGGGAGCACCCUUCGGGGUGUGACUGCGUACCUUUUGUAUAAUGGGUCAGCGACUUAUAUUCUGUAGCAAGGUUAACCGUAUAGGGGAGCCGGAGGGAAACCGAGUCUUAACCGGGCGUUAAGUUGCAGGGUAUAGACCCGAAACCCGGUGAUCUAGCCAUGGGCAGGUUGAAGGUUGGGUAACACUAACUGGAGGACCGAACCGACUAAUGUUGAAAAAUUAGCGGAUGACCUGUGGCUGGGGGUGAAAGGCCAAUCAAACCGGGAGAUAGCUGGUUCUCCCCGAAAGCUAUUUAGGUAGCGCCUCGUGAAUUCAUCUCCGGGGGUAGAGCACUGUUUCGGCUAGGGGGCCAUCCCGGCUUACCAACCCGAUGCAAACUGCGAAUACCGGAGAAUGUUAUCACGGGAGACACACGGCGGGUGCUAACGUCCGUCGUGAAGAGGGAAACAACCCAGACCGCCAGCUAAGGUCCCAAAGUCAUGGUUAAGUGGGAAACGAUGUGGGAAGGCCCAGACAGCCAGGAUGUUGGCUUAGAAGCAGCCAUCAUUUAAAGAAAGCGUAAUAGCUCACUGGUCGAGUCGGCCUGCGCGGAAGAUGUAACGGGGCUAAACCAUGCACCGAAGCUGCGGCAGCGAACGUAUCACCCAAGACAACUUUACGGAGUUGACGAUUGACGGAGCGAAGCGACGUCAAAGCGUUCAUUAAAGUCGAGUUGGCUUAGGGAUACGUUCGUUGGGUAGGGGAGCGUUCUGUAAGCCUGUGAAGGUGUGUCGUGAGGCAUGCUGGAGGUAUCAGAAGUGCGAAUGCUGACAUAAGUAACGAUAAAGCGGGUGAAAAGCCCGCUCGCCGGAAGACCAAGGGUUCCUGUCCAACGUUAAUCGGGGCAGGGUGAGUCGACCCCUAAGGCGAGGCCGAAAGGCGUAGUCGAUGGGAAACGGGUUAAUAUUCCCGUACUUGGUGUUACUGCGAAGGGGGGACGGAGAAGGCUAUGUUGGCCGGGCGACGGUUGUCCCGGUUUAAGCGUGUAGGUGUGUGUUCCAGGUAAAUCCGGUUCACUUUAACACUGAGGCGUGACGACGAGGCACUACGGUGCUGAAGCAACAAAUGCCCUGCUUCCAGGAAAAGCCUCUAAGCAUCAGGUAACAUCAAAUCGUACCCCAAACCGACACAGGUGGUCAGGUAGAGAAUACCAAGGCGCUUGAGAGAACUCGGGUGAAGGAACUAGGCAAAAUGGUGCCGUAACUUCGGGAGAAGGCACGCUGACACGUAGGUGAAGUGAUUUACUCACGGAGCUGAAGUCAGUCGAAGAUACCAGCUGGCUGCAACUGUUUAUUAAAAACACAGCACUGUGCAAACACGAAAGUGGACGUAUACGGUGUGACGCCUGCCCGGUGCCGGAAGGUUAAUUGAUGGGGUCAGCGCAAGCGAAGCUCCUGAUCGAAGCCCCGGUAAACGGCGGCCGUAACUAUAACGGUCCUAAGGUAGCGAAAUUCCUUGUCGGGUAAGUUCCGACCUGCACGAAUGGCGUAAUGAUGGCCAGGCUGUCUCCACCCGAGACUCAGUGAAAUUGAACUCGCUGUGAAGAUGCAGUGUACCCGCGGCAAGACGGAAAGACCCCGUGAACCUUUACUAUAGCUUGACACUGAACAUUGAGCCUUGAUGUGUAGGAUAGGUGGGAGGCUUUGAAGUGUGGACGCCAGUCUGCAUGGAGCCGACCUUGAAAUACCACCCUUUAAUGUUUGAUGUUCUAACGUGGACCCGUAAUCCGGGUUGCGGACAGUGUCUGGUGGGUAGUUUGACUGGGGCGGUCUCCUCCUAAAGAGUAACGGAGGAGCACGAAGGUUGGCUAAUCCUGGUCGGACAUCAGGAGGUUAGUGCAAUGGCAUAAGCCAGCUUGACUGCGAGCGUGACGGCGCGAGCAGGUGCGAAAGCAGGUCAUAGUGAUCCGGUGGUUCUGAAUGGAAGGGCCAUCGCUCAACGGAUAAAAGGUACUCCGGGGAUAACAGGCUGAUACCGCCCAAGAGUUCAUAUCGACGGCGGUGUUUGGCACCUCGAUGUCGGCUCAUCACAUCCUGGGGCUGAAGUAGGUCCCAAGGGUAUGGCUGUUCGCCAUUUAAAGUGGUACGCGAGCUGGGUUUAGAACGUCGUGAGACAGUUCGGUCCCUAUCUGCCGUGGGCGCUGGAGAACUGAGGGGGGCUGCUCCUAGUACGAGAGGACCGGAGUGGACGCAUCACUGGUGUUCGGGUUGUCAUGCCAAUGGCACUGCCCGGUAGCUAAAUGCGGAAGAGAUAAGUGCUGAAAGCAUCUAAGCACGAAACUUGCCCCGAGAUGAGUUCUCCCUGAGACUUAGAGUCUCCUGAAGGAACGUUGAAGACGACGACGUUGAUAGGCCGGGUGUGUAAGCGCAGCGAUGCGUUGAGCUAACCGGUACUAAUGAACCGUGAGGCUUAACCUU